UGUCAUUUUACAUAGUGCAUGUGGCCCAAC
rnacentral:piRNA from 1 species